rnacentral:lncRNA from 1 species
ACACACACACACACACACACACACAGAUAAUCCUCAGGGCCUAUGUUAUUUUCCUGUGGCUGCUGUAACAAAUGCCCACAAACUUGGUGGCUUAAAAGAAUAGAAAUGUAUUAUUUCACUUUUGGCCAGAAGUCCAAAAUCAAAGUGUCAGCAGGGCUAUGUCCCCUCCAAAGCCUCCAGGGGAGGAUCCCUCCUUGCCUUUUCCAGCUUCCAGUGCCUCCAGGUGUUAUUUUGGCUUGUGAGUGCAUGACUCCAAACUCCACCUCUGUCUUCACAUGCACUUUUCCUCUUUAUCCCUGUCUCUUUCCUCUAUUGUCUCUCUCAAAUCCCCCCUGUGCCUUUCUCUUAUAGGAAUACUUGUCAUUGAAAUUAGGGCCCACCUGGAUAAUCCAUGAUGAUCUCAUCUCAAGAUCCUUAACUUAAUGACAUCUGCAGAGACUGGUUUAUCAAAUAAGGGACUGUGGCUAUAUCGCUGACCUCAAGAAAACCUGCGGACAAAAUCUGCUAAAGAAGUAUCAGCAUCUAUUUCAAAAGUUAGCCAUUAUUUUAAGAAGACUGUGCUGGAAGACGGGUAUUUAACACAAACAGAUGCAAAAGGUACGGGGUUUCACCGUGUUGACCAGACUGAUUUUGAACUUCUGGGCUCAAUCAGUCCACCUGCCUCGGCCUCCCAAAGUGCUGAGAUUAUAGGUGUGAGCCCCUGCGCCUGGCCAGGGAUGCCGUUCUUCACUCUCCAGUGCUGGUGAGAUAGAAUCACCAUAACAGAGUCAAGCGCAGAUAAAAAAGAUCAGCAAAGGCCAGAUUCCCUCAACUUAUUUUGAAUGGAUGGAGAAAUGGUGAAUCUUCGGUUUGUGAGUAUGACCAGUGGGUCAUAUGGGCAGAAAAGCAAGCGGCAGUCUCAAAAGCAGAGGGCAUUUAGAAUCCAAGGUUCAAGCUGGAAGAGAUCUUGGUCACCUCCUUGUUGAAUGCCUUAAUUGAAUGGAUGAGGAAAAUGGGCUCAUAUGGCAGAAAUAAUCUGUAGAGCUAGGACAGGAUCCUAGGUGUCCAGCCCCCUGUUCUAUGGAUUUUCAUUUGGAGAAGUCAGUCAUGUACCUGCCUCAGGGCCUUUGCACCUCUUUUCUCUUUGCCCAGAUCAUUCUUCCCCUAAAUAGCCACAUGGCUUUCUUCCUCAUCUCCUUCAAGUUUUUGCUUAAAUUUCAGUUUGUCAGUGAGGUCUUCUCUGACCAUUUAGACCAGAAUAUGCCAUCUUAAAAUAUGAGUAUGGAAGACAAGAAUAUGCCACCCCAAAAUAUGCUUCUUGGGCAUAAGGAUUAUUUUGAGCUGAUUAUUUUGAGAAACUGCAGACACAGGAGUUCUAAUCUGAAAACAGAUCCCUGUGCAGGGGAAAUCUAUACCUAUCACGGAAGUCUCUGCUUGUAAGAGUGUCUCCCUCUCAGUAUCAGGGCAAGAAGGAUGCGUGGAAGUCACUGGAGACUUUUGUCAAUGAAGCAGGUGCUGACUUAAUUCUCCAAAACAAACCUUACCCUUGUCUACCCUGAGUUUCCUGUUGACUUCCCCACAGCACUCCAACCAGCAAUGAAGGAGAUCUGAGGUCUCGGCAUCCUCAUUCACACCUGGUAUUGCCAGUUCUUUCUUUUUAAUGUUAGCCAUUCUCAUAGGUGUUUGUAUUUUCAACUUACACUUCCUUAAUUACUGAUGAUGUUGAUCUUUUCAUGUUUAAUAGGGUGGAAACAAAGUUAAACAGAUUUCUCUACGGCAGCAGGACUCAGAGCUUUUUUGAAUUGUCUGACGGGCAGAUUGCUGGGAAUUCUUUUUCUAUGGUCAAGUAAAGAUUACAAGGCUAGAAUUCCAGCGAAGCUAUUUUGGCAAAUACUGACCUACAUGAUUGAAGGGGUCCAGAAUAUGCCACCCCAAAAUAUGCCACUUUGACAUACGGCUUAUUUUGGGCUGCAAGCGAUUGAAAAUGAGCAGAUGCAGGAUGAAUCCUCUGCUCUCUUUUUCUACCUGAAACCAGGGCGUAACAUUCCCUUUGUGGAAGGUGUUCCUCGACUCCCAUAGCAGGAAGUGUAGAGCAACUCUUACCAUCAAAGAUGGACAGUCAGCAUUGAGAUGAGUCUGCAUAAACAAACUUUUUUUUUUAAAGUUUGUUCCAUUAAUCUCCCCCAUGUAUUUGCUAGUCACUUUCCCACAAUUUAUCAUCCCUUUCCUUUGUUAAAAUGAUAUAUACGUCCCUGAGCCUAAUCACUUUGCAUUUCACUACUUUUCUGUGAACUCCUAUGCACGUAAAAAUAUAAAUACAUUUGUAUUCCUUUUCUCCUGUUAACCUGUCUUGCGUCAGUGAAAUUUACAGGCUCCAGCCAUUCAACUUAUGGGACAGAAGAAAGUUUUUCCUCCCUAACGUGAUCAAACACAU